GCGCCGUUGCCGCCGGUCUUGACGACCGUGCCGCUGUGGGCGGCGUGGACGUCGGUGCCGACCGACACCGCGUA
rnacentral:tRNA from 3 species